CGGUAUUAUAAACUGUUUGCACGGAUUCAUAAUCCGUGCCCUCGUUUUUAUAAACUGUGCGCACGGAUUUGCAAUCUGUGCGCACGGUUUUGCAAACGUGCCCACAUAAUCCGUGCCCUCGGUUUUCUUAUCUGUGCGCACGGUUUUGCAAUCUGUGCGUACAAAUUUGUAAACGUGCCCACGUAAACGCGCAAAAAUGUUUAACAUUCCAGAGAAGAAGACGGCACGGGUAGCCUACUUUCAGCUGCGUCUCCAUCCGACAAAAUGGACCAGAGUUUCCACAAGUUCCUUCGAGAACAGCGGAGGUUAAAUGAGACAGUUGUCACCACCUUUAUCAACGAGAAGAUUGACUGCUAUGCUGUCCAUGGGAUGACAGAUGACCAGUUGAUGAAAUAUGUCCCCAAGAUUGGAGACCAGAUAGCUAUUCGGCAGUACUGCAGAACAGAAGUGGCUGCACUGGA